ensembl:lncRNA
CAGAGAUGGUUCAAGGGGUGAAAACUGUUUGCUAAGUCUGGGCAUUUGUGGAUAGUGUGAUGGUGUCCUCUAUAGUAGCAACUUGGAAGUGAAUCUGCAACCUAUGCUGACUCAGGUUUUUAAGAAGUGUAAAUGAAGAACAACUUCAAGAGUAACUGGGGAUUUGUCUCAGUUGCAUUAUUGCCAUUGAAUGUCACAUGUUUUGUAAGGAACAGAGUCAGAGAGACACAUUUCUGGAUGAGAGUGAUACAAACGAUCGUAAUAACCCUGCGCAAAGGUUUCCAGGCCGCACUGCCACUCAGCCCAUUCAGCGCUCUUAAAUUAACAGCACUUCUUCAGCGUGCGUUCGUCAGAGCUGCUCCUUGAAGCUUUUGUUCCACCCUUGUUAUUUGUUAAAAAAAAUUAAAUAAAAUAGGAACCAGACAGUGCCAAAGAAAAUUUACCAUGUAAUUAUUUAAGAGAGAUUGUGAGCGGUUUGGAUACUUGUAGUGAAACUGAUGUCUUCAUCUCUGGUACGCAAAUGUGUUUCAGAUGGUAUGUGCCAUGCAGUAACAGGUUUUUUAAAAAUGGUGUUUUAGCAGAGCUGAUGGAAUAGCUGCUUCCUUCUCGGUGGUACGUUUUUAAUUCAGACUCCACCGUAACAAGAAUACGCUAAUUGGGUAGCUGAGCAACUCGACUCAUUAGAUGCAAUGCUUACUGAUUCAAUUUAACCAUUACGGGGUAUCUCAGUACAUGAUUCAGAACUACUUUUCUUUUAAUUCAGCGUUCUGUUCCUCGGAAGGAAAUUAAUUUUGCUUAAGAUUACUUCAAUAAACCUCUGAUAAUAAAGCUAUAAUUAAAGAGGUUACCUGUAAGAGCUUUUUACUGGUAUUUUUACUUGUAAUAUUACAUAUUGCUUAAAUAUGUAUUUGAAUGUAAAAGCC